UACGGGGGGGCAAGCGUUGUUCGGAAUUACUGGGCGUAAAGGGCUCGUAGGUGGCCAACUAAGUCAGACGUGAAAUCCCUCGGCUUAACCGGGGAACUGCGUCUGAUACUGGAUGGCUUGGAUUCGGGAGAGGAAUGCGGAAUUCCAGGUGUAGCGGUGAAAUGCGUAGAUAUCUGGAGGAACACCGGUGGCGAAGGCGGCAUUCUGGACCGAUAUUGACGCUGAGGAGCGAAAGCUAGGGAGCAACGGGAUUAAGAAACCC
rnacentral:rRNA from 1 species